AUUGAACGCUGGCGGCAGGCUUAACACAUGCAAGUCGAGCGGAGAGAGGUAGCUUGCUACUGAUCUUAGCGGCGGACGGGUGAGUAAUGCUUAGGAAUCUGCCUAUUAGUGGGGGACAACAUUUCGAAAGGAAUGCUAAUACCGCAUACGUCCUACGGGAGAAAGCAGGGGAUCUUCGGACCUUGCGCUAAUAGAUGAGCCUAAGUCGGAUUAGCUAGUUGGUGGGGUAAAGGCCUACCAAGGCGACGAUCUGUAGCGGGUCUGAGAGGAUGAUCCGCCACACUGGGACUGAGACACGGCCCAGACUCCUACGGGAGGCAGCAGUGGUGAAUCUUGGACAAUGGGCGCAAGCCUGAUCCAGCCAUGCCGCGUGUGUGAAGAAGGCCUUAUGGUUGUAAAGCACUUUAAGCGAGGAGGAGGCUACUUUAGAUAAUACCUAGAGAUAGCGGACGUUACUCGCAGAAUAAGCACCGGCUAACUCUGUGCCAGCCGCCGCGGUAAGAC
rnacentral:rRNA from 1 species